GGUCACCAGGCUCUUCCACCUCCACAUCGAUCUGCAUGACCUCGUAGGAGGCGCCAUCCGCACUGGAGAGAAGACACAGAGGAGAACAGCUUUCAGGGACUGAUGAGGUAGAAAAAUGUAGAUUUGGUGCCUGCCUCUGCCUGAAAAGGAAGUGACCAGGGUGUAGCUGAGAAUGAACAGAGGAAUCCGCUGAGAGAGGUGAAACCCCGGUGAUGAUGACAGCCAGAGACACACCCCACAACCUCCAAAGAGAUGAUCACAGCCAGAGACAUACCCCACAACCUCCAAAGAGAAGCUGAACUUGCUUCAUGUCUAAGAUCCGUAGUUUACCUUUUUAACAAGUCCUGACCUAAUGUGACUGGUGACCUUAAAAGAAGAGGAGAUUAAGAGACAGGUGCACACAGAGGAAAGAACAUAUGAAGGCAUCGGGAGAAGGCAGCAUCUACAAUCUUCAGAGAGAGGCCUCAGAAGGAUCCAAACCUGCCUGUACCUUGAUUUUGGCCUUCCAGCCUCCAGAACUGUGAGAAAAUAAACUCCUGUUGGUGAAGCA
rnacentral:lncRNA from 1 species